GUUUAAUGCCGGAUUUGCACAAAGAUUAUUCUUGAAAGAUGGAGCAGUUCCCUCUUUGUCUGGAGAAGGCGUUGUUUAUGGACCACAACUGAUAAAGAAAGGUCUUACAGUUUGGAACAACAUGAGGUGAUAGUUCCGACAAUCCCUGACACUCCAAGUAUGGACAUGAGUAAUGCUGCCUGUUGUGGACUGACACCUGCACUCAGGGAAUAUGGCACAAGAUACACAAAUGGCACACUGCAACCAUAUGCAAGGAACAGGAAGG